AAAUUUGGCUCCUUAAUAAUUCAUAUAACUUUUUUUUUUUUGAUAAAUAAUCAAGUGUUUUAUUAAUUAAAAGGUAAUACACAGGAAGUGUAUUAUACACUUAAACAAGAAAUAAAUGUCAUGAAGUUAGGCAGUCCAUCUAUGUAACUCGAAGCUACAGCACUAAACCAAUUAUACAAUGUCAAAUAAAAUAAUUCUCUAAACUGUUCUAAAGUCUUCGUCUGAUCAUUAAAACAGCGCCCGUUUCUUUCUCUCCACACGCACCAAACAAUGCAGUCUGGAAUAAGAUCCCAAACGAGUUUACUGUCCUUGUCACGAAACUUUCUCCUCCAAACCUUCAACAAAUCUUCCAUAUGUCGUGGCAUCACCCAAUCCAAAUGUUGAGAAGCCAAAAUAUCAUUCCACAGCAAACGGGCACCAUCACAAUGCAGGAACAAAUGGUCAAUUAUUUCCCCAUCCUUUCUGCACAUAUGACACUAAUUUGUAAUAUAAAACCCCUCAAUCGAAGAUUGUCCGCUGUUAAAACUUGUCUUCUCACUACCGUCCAUAGUAAAAACGCCACCCUUGGAGGCAGUUUACACUUCCAUACCAUCUUCCAAGGGAAUAAAUUCUCCGCAAAUCCCAAUAAGGAUUUGAAAUAAGUGCUAACUGAGAAAAUGCCAUCCCUUGUCGACAUCCACUUGAUGCGGUCACACUCUCCAACCUUGAUAUGCACGUCAUACAAAGAGGUCAAAAGCACUGUGUAAUCAUCAACUUCCCAAACUUGUAGUCCCCUCCCAAAAACAAUGUUCCAACUAAUGCUCCCGUUAUGUGUAUCUAAUACUUAAUUCACCAUAGCAGAUGGCAUCACGGCAAUACGAUACAAAGAAGGAAAUUGCUCCUUUACCGGUUGAUCAGUACACCAACAGUCAUCCCAAAAGCUGAUAGAGUUGCCAUUCCCCACACCGAAGGUCACUUUAUUUCGGAAGUCACUCCACCCUCGUCGAAUAAACCGCCAUAAACUCACCUCGUAGGUACCACGGCUCUCAACUGAACACCAUCCACCCUCCAUCAUGCCAUAUUUCUCUUCUAUAAUUUCUCUCCAGAAACUCUCGCUCUCCACCCGAAACCGCCAUAACCACUUACCCAACAAGACCUUAUUAAACAACACAAGGCUCCUCAAUCCGAGUUCCCCAACCCUUAAGGGAGAACAAACUGCACCCCAAUUUACUAAAUGAAAUUUCCUCUCCUCUCCUAACCCUUCCUAAAGAAACUCCCUUUGGAUCCUCUCUAGUCUCUUAGCCACUGUAACAGGAAUGGGAAAUAAAGACAAGAAAUAAGUGGGGAGAUUCGAGAGAGUAGACUUGAUAAGAGUAAGGCGACCUCCCUUUAAAAGGUACAUAUGCUUCCAACCCGCUAAUCUCCUCUCCACCCUUUCCACUAUACUGUCCCAAAUGUUUUUACUUUUGAACCUUGCUCCUAAUGGGAGUCCAAGAUAUGUCAUAGGCAACUGUGCAACCCUACAGCCCAAUGUAGCAGCCAACCUUUCCACAUUAUCGACCUCUCCAACAGUAAUGACCUCAGACUUCCCUAAAUUUAUCUUCAUUUCAGAUACGGCUUCGAAGCAUAGAAGCAAACGACGCAAAUUCCCAAAGUGCUCAACGUCAGCGUCACAAAAGAUCAGAGUAUCAUCUGCAAAUAGCAAAUGAGAUAUCUACAGUUGACCAAUCCUAAAGCCCUUUAACAAACUUUGCCCCACAGCCUUUUCAACCAUUUUACUGAAUGCCUCUAUUACAAUAACAAACAGUAAUGGAGACAAAGGAUCCCCUUGUCGCAAUCCUCUACUACUUCGGAAAUGGCCUUCAGGAGUGCCGUUUACCAGAACAGAAGAAGAGACAAUAGAAAUACAAAAUUGAAUCCACUGACACCACUUGGCUCCGAAACCACAUCGCCUGAGCAUAUACAAUAGGAAACCCCAGUUCACGUGAUCAUAGGCCUUUUGAAUAUCAAGUUUACAUAGCAUCCCUGGAGCCCCUUGACGUAGUCUUGAAUCAAUACAUUCAUUUGCUAUGAGAACGGAGUCCAAGAUCUGUCGCCCUUUGACAAAAGCAUUCUGAUAUUUAGACACCACUUUUCCCAGCACCUCCUUUAAUCUAUUAGCCAAAACCUUUGCAAUAAUCUUAUACACCCCACUUACUAGACUGAUAGGUCGAAAAUCCUUAAUGUCUAGUGCUCCUGGUUUUUUUGGGAUCAGCACAAUAAAUGUGGUAUUAGAGCUUUUCAAGAAUCUACCACACUGGAAAAAGUAAGCAAAAACAUCCACAAUAUCCGAACGUAUCACCUCCCAACAAGCCUUGUAGAAUGCGAAGGAGAAUCCGUCCGGUCCUGGGGCUUUGUCAUCAUUCAUACUGAACACCACCUCCCUAAUCUCGUUCUCCCCAAAUGGUCUUUCUAACCAACUGACAUCCUCCUCAGAAAUAGUGGAAAACUCUAGCCCCUCAAGCUCUGGCCUCCAUUCAAACUGCUCCUUAUAAAGGUUUUGGUAGAAACUCACCAUUUGGGUACCAAUAUCCUGUGGGUUCUCAAAAGUUACCCCAUCCACCUCCAGCAUAGAGAUACAAUUAUUGCGCCUGUUGGAAUUGGCUACCCUAUGGAAAAACCGUGUACACUUAUCUCCCUCUCUUAACCACUUGACCCUAGAUUUCUGGCGCCUAGAAAUCUCCUCCAUCUCCACCAACCUCUCCAGGUCACCCCUUAAUUCUUGACGUCACUCCCUCUCGUCCCUUCCCAAUUCUCGACUUUCCUCCUUCCUAUCCAAUUUCUCUAUUUCUAAAGUGCAUUGAUUUUUACGCCAGUUAACAUCCCCCACCUCCUCCUCAUUCCAUCUUUUGAGGUCUCCUUUUAAAGCCUUUAAUUUCUGGUCCAACACAUAACUGGGGGAUCCCCUGAACUUGUAGGAGGCCCACCAAGUCCGUACUCGCUCCCCAAAAUCAUCCACUUUAAGCCGCAUUUUUUCAAACCUAAAAGGCCUUCUCCCGCUAUAUCCCACAUCCCCAGGUAAUGAAAUUGGGAAAUGAUCUGAGUAUACCCUCCCUAGUCUCCUCUGAGCGACAUCUGGGUACUUAGCCUCCCACUCCACAUUAAUCAAGAACCGAUCUAUUCUAGAAUGAACAGGUAGCUCUCGAUUAGAUAACCAAGUAAAAUCUCCCCCCAUCAAAGGCAUAUCCACCAACAUAUUCUCCCUGAUAAAAUCUUAAAAGUCCUCCAUAGCCCCUGUUAGUCUCCCGCCACUAGACUUUUCAGUAGGAAAGCGGACCACAUUAAAGUCACGCCCUAUGCACGUUAGGAGGUUCCACCAAGCCAUCAUACCUGCCAAUUCAUCCCACAAUCCGCCUCUACUUUCAUCAACAUUAGGCCCAUAAACUCCUAUGAACAUCCAAAGAAAUCUAUCCCCAAUAUUUAUAAAUGAGAGGGAUAGGGAAAAAAGCCCUUCACUAACCUCCUCCAACUGAAAGACUCUAGUAUCCCACAUAAUAAGCACCCCUCCUGAAGCCUCCACAAAUUGAUACCCAAUAUGUUGUCCCCCCCCAUAAGCUACUAACAACAGCCCUCGAAACGGUCUCCAACUUUGUCUCCUGUAAGCAAACAAUGUCAGCCUUCCAACCCCUUAAGAGAUUUCGAACACCUAGCCUUUUACCAGCUUCAUUGAGCCCCCUCACAUUCCAGCAAACAAUUUUUGGGAUCAUCUUGACACACUUUCAUCCCUCCCCAUCAAUCCUCUUCUUAACUUACCACUCCUUAUGUUAUAAUUAACCAAGCAUUCAAGCUUUUUAAGUUCACGGUUAUCCUUUCUUCUUGUCUUAUCUGCUGGUGUAUCCAUCCCUUGUCCCUUACUCGCCUCCAACUCCUCAAAUAGUUGCAAGAGCUUAUGUUCAUACCCAUCACAG
rnacentral:lncRNA from 1 species